rnacentral:tRNA from 1 species
AAAUAAGAAGCAAUUCAAAAAAUGCAUUUAAUUUCGACUUAAAAGAUAGAGUAAACAAACUCCUUAUUUA